rnacentral:rRNA from 1 species
AUGAUCUCUGGACUAGAAAACUUUCCAGGUGAUGUCAUCCACUCCUCAAGCUACAAGUCAGGCAAGAGCUACUCUGGCAAGAAUGUAUUGGUCGUUGGAUCUGGCAACUCCGGGAUGGAAAUUGCUUAUGACCUUGCAACCCAUGGUGCCAGUACAUCGAUUGUUAUACGAAGCCCGGUAUGUACACGCGCUAUAUAUUUUCAUUGGGUACAUGAACGCAAAUUCUUAGUAUAG